GGCUCGAAGAUGCUAGUCUGCGAACAACUUCGACAGCUGACAUUUUUCUUCUUCUACAAGCACCUUGGAUACUUCAAAGUGAUAAAAGAUCUGGAGGAAGAAGAGAGAAGGAGGACAAGAGGCUCUAAAAAUAAAAAAUCUAUAAAAAAAUUAAUCAUGGGACGUCCAAGAGAGGGGUACCCUUUUUAUAGACUAAGAAUUAGAACUUUUCAAGAAAUGAUGCCAUGAAUCAAUGCCA
rnacentral:lncRNA from 1 species